CCUACGGGCGACAGCAGUGGGGAAUAUUGCGCAAUGGGCGAAAGCCUGACGCAGCGACGCCGCGUGAGGGAUGAAGGUCUUCGGAUCGUAAACCUUUGUCAGCAGGGAAGAACGGUCACUGUGCUAUUCAGCAGUGAAUUGACGGUACCUGCAAAGGAAGCACAGGCUAACUCCGUGCCAGCCGCCGCGGUAAUACGGAGGGUGCGAGCGUUAAUCGGAAUUACUGGGCGUAAAGCGAGCGUAGGCGGUAUGUCAAGUCAAGGGUGAAAUCCCCGGGCUCAACGUGGGAACUGCCUUUGAAACUGGCAAACUUGAGUGUGUGAGAGGAUAGUGGAAUUCCAGGUGUAGGAGUGAAAUCCGUAGAUAUCUGGAGGAACAUCAGUGGCGAAGGCGACUAUCUGGCACAUAACUGACGCUGAGGAGCGAAAGCGUGGGUAGCAAACAGGAUUAGAUACCCGGGUAGUC
rnacentral:rRNA from 1 species